UACGAAGGGGGCUAGCGUUGCUCGGAAUUACUGGGCGUAAAGCGCACGUAGGCGGCUUUCUAAGUCGGGGGUGAAAUCCUGGAGCUCAACUCCAAAACUGCCUUCGAUACUGGAGAGCUCGAGUCCGGGAGAGGUGAGUGGAAUUCCGAGUGUAGAGGUGAAAUUCGUAGAUAUUCGGAAGAACACCAGUGGCGAAGGCGGCUCACUGGACCGGUAUUGACGCUGAGGUGCGAAAGCGUGGGGAGCAAACAGG
rnacentral:rRNA from 1 species